rnacentral:rRNA from 1 species
GACGAACGCUGGCGGCGUGCUUAACACAUGCAAGUCGAACGGAAAGGCCCUGCUUGCAGGGUACUCGAGUGGCGAACGGGUGAGUAACACGUGGGUGAUCUGCCCUGCACUUCGGGAUAGGCCUGGGAAACUGGGUCUAAUACCGGAUAGGAGCCAUUUUGAGUGUGAUGGUUGGAAAGUUUUUUCGGUGUAGGAUGAGCUCGCGGCCUAUCAGCUUGUUGGUGGGGUAAUGGCCUACCAAGGCGGCGACGGGUAGCCGGCCUGGGAGGGUGGACGGCAACAGUGGGACUGGGAUACGGCCCAGACUCCGACGGGAGGCAGCAGUGGGGAAGAGUGCACAAUGGGCGCAAGCCUGAUGCAGCGACGCCGCGUGGGGGAUGACGGCCUUCGGGUUGUAAACUCAUUUCGCUAGGGACGAAGCUUUUUGUGACGGUACCUAGAGAAGAAGCACCGGCUAACUACGUG